ANCGAUGAAGCCUUUUCGGGGUGGAUUAGUGGCGAACCGGGUGAGUAACACGUGGGCAAUCUGCCCUUCACUCUGGGACAAGCCCUGGAAACGGGGUCUAAUACCGGAUAACACUCUGUCCCGCAUGGGACGGGGUUAAAAGCUCCGGCGGUGAAGGAUGAGCCCGCGGCCUAUCAGCUUGUUGGUGGGGUGAUGGCCUACCAAGGCGACGACGGGUAGCCGGCCUGAGAGGGCGACCGGCCACACUGGGACUGAGACACGGCCCAGACUCCUACGGGAGGCAGCAGUGGGGAAUAUUGCACAAUGGGCGAAAGCCUGAUGCAGCGACGCCGCGUGAGGGAUGACGGCCUUCGGGUUGUAAACCUCUUUCAGCAGGGAAGAAGCGAAAGUGACGGUACCUGCAGAAGAAGCGCCGGCUAACUACGUGCCAGCAGCCGCGGUAAUACGUAGGGCGCAAGCGUUGUCCGGAAUUAUUGGGCGUAAAGAGCUCGUAGGCGGCUUGUCACGUCGGAUGUGAAAGCCCGGGGCUUAACCCCGGGUCUGCAUUCGAUACGGGCUAGCUAGAGUGUGGUAGGGGAGAUCGGAAUUCCUGGUGUAGCGGUGAAAUGCGCAGAUAUCAGGAGGAACACCGGUGGCGAAGGCGGAUCUCUGGGCCAUUACUGACGCUGAGGAGCGAAAGCGUGGGGAGCGAACAGGAUUAGAUACCCUGGUAGUCCACGCCGUAAACGUUGGGAACUAGGUGUUGGCGACAUUCCACGUCGUCGGUGCCGCAGCUAACGCAUUAA
rnacentral:rRNA from 1 species